rnacentral:tRNA from 1 species
GCGAGUGUCGUAUAGUGGCAAUACCCCAGUUUUCCAAACUGGUGCCGGGAGUUCGAUUCUCCCCACUCGCUCCA